GGGUGAGUAACACGUGAGCAAUCUGCCUUUCAGAGGGGGAUACCGAUUGGAAACGAUCGUUAAUACCGCAUAACAUAAUUGAACCGCAUGAUUUGAUUAUCAAAGAUUUAUCGCUGAAAGAUGAGCUCGCGUCUGAUUAGCUAGUUGGUAAGGUAACGGCUUACCAAGGCGACGAUCAGUAGCCGGACUGAGAGGUUGAUCGGCCACAUUGGGACUGAGACACGGCCCAGACUCCUACGGGAGGCAGCAGUGGGGAAUAUUGCACAAUGGAGGAAACUCUGAUGCAGCGAUGCCGCGUGAGGGAAGAAGGUUUUAGGAUUGUAAACCUCUGUCUUCAGGGACGAAAAAAGACGGUACCUGAGGAGGAAGCUCCGGCUAACUACGUGCCAGCAGCCGCGGUAAUACGUAGGGAGCGAGCGUUGUCCGGAAUUACUGGGUGUAAAGGGAGCGUAGGCGGGAUCGCAAGUCAGAUGUGAAAACUAUGGGCUUAACCCAUAAACUGCAUUUGAAACUGUGGUUCUUGAGUGAAGUAGAGGUAAGCGGAAUUCCUAGUGUAGCGGUGAAAUGCGUAGAUAUUAGGAGGAACAUCAGUGGCGAAGGCGGCUUACUGGGCUUUAACUGACGCUGAGGCUCGAAAGCGUGGGGAGCAAACAGGAUUAGAUACCCUGGUAGUCCACGCCGUAAACGAUGAUUACUAGGUGUGGGGGGACU
rnacentral:rRNA from 1 species